CAUGCAUAACUAUUCACCCCCUAAAGUCAAUACUUUGUAGAGCCACCUUUUACAACAAUUACAGCUGCAAGUCUCUUGGGAUAUGUCUCUAUAAGCUUGGCACAUCUAGCCACUGGGAUUUUUGCCCAUUCUUCAAGGGAAAAACUGCUCCAGCUCCUUCAAGUUGGAUGGGUUCCUGCUGGUAUACAGCAAUCUUUGUCAUACCACAGAUUCUCAAUUGGAUUGAGGUCUGGACUUUGACUAGGCCAUUCCAAGACAUUUAAAUGUUUUCUCUUAAACCACUCGAGUGUUGCUUUAGCAUUAUGCUUAGGGUCAUUGUCUUGCUGGAAGGUGAACCUCCAUCCCAGUCUCAAAUCUCUGGAAGACUGAAACCGGUUUCCCGCAAGAAUUUCCCUGUAUUUAGCGUCAUGUAUCAUUCCUUCAAUUCUGACCAGUUUCUUAGUCCCUGCCGAUGGAAAAACAUCCCCACAGCAUGAUGCUGUCACCACCAUGCUUCACUGUGAGGAUGGUGUUCUCAGGGUGAUGAGAGAUGUUGGGUUUGUGCCAGACAUAGCGUUUUCCUUGAUGGCCAAAAUGCUCAAUUUUAGUCUUAUCUGACCAGAGUACCUUCUUCCAUAUGUUUGGGGAGUCUCCCACAUUCCUUUUGGCGAACACCAAAAGCAAUGUCUUUUUUCUGGCCACUUCCAUAAAGCCCAGAGUGCAUGGCUUAGUGGUCCUCUGGACAGAUACUCCAAUCUCCGCUGUGGAGCUUUCCAGCUCCUUCAGGGUUAUCUUUGGUCUCUUUGGUGCCUCUCUGAUUAAUACCCUCCUUACCUGGUCUGAGUUUUGGUGGUGGCCCUCUCUUGGCAGGUUUGUUGUGGUGCCAUAUUAUUUCCAUUUUUUUAAUAAUGGAUAUAAUGGUGCUCUGUGGGAUGUUCAAAGUUUCAGAUAUUUUUUUAUAACCCAACCUUGAUCUGUACUUCUCCACAGUCCCUGACGUGUUUGGAGAGCUCCAUGGUCUUUAUGUUGCCCCUUGCUUAGUGGUGUUGAAGACUCUGGGGCCUUUCAGAACAUGUGUAUAUAUACUGAGAUCAUGUGACACUUAGCUUAGCACCAGAUCUUAUUUAGGGUCUUCAUAGGAAAGGGGGUGAAUACAUAUGCACGCACCACUUUUCCGUUUUUUAGAAUUUUUUUAAACAAGUUAUUUUUUGCAUUUCACUUCACCAAUCUGGACUAUUUUGUGUAUGUCAAUUGCAUUAAAUCCAAAUUAAAAUCUAUUUAAAUUACUGGUUGUAAUGCAACAAAAUAGGAAAAUAGAGUGAAUACUUUUGCAAGGCACUGUACAUAUUUUACAUUGUAAUAUACUACUGUCACGCCCUGACCAUGGAAAGCUGUUUAUUCUCUAUGUUGGUUGGGGCGUGAUAGUGACUAGGGUGGGUCAUCUAGGUGAAUUGUAUUUUUAUGGUGGCCUGAUAUGGUUCCCAAUCAGAGGCAGCUGUUUAUCGUUGUCUCUGAUUGGGUAUCAUAUUUAGGUAGCCAUUUUCCCCAUUCUGUUUGUGGGAUCUUGUCUACGGAUAGUUGCCUGUGUGCACCAGUAGCGUCACGUUUUAUUGUUUUGUUCUAUGAGUUUCGAUUUAUAACGAAUAUGUGGAACUCUACGCACGCUGCGCCUUGGUCUAAUCAUUACGACGAGCGUGACAACUACCCCUACAUGCCAUUGUCCACUGUCAGUAGGCCUACACAUUCACACUAACUGAAUUAAAUGGAGGAUGCAAAAAUACUUUUUACUGAAGAAGGGAACGAGGUACGACAUACAACUUCGAUCGAAGACCUUAAAAUCAUGCCUGACAAGACCAAUGAAAUCAUAACGGUAUCCUAACAGUGUGGAUACAGGAGUAGCCUAUUCUACAAUAAUGUAACUAUGUGCUUGUAUUAUUUAUCUUAUUGAAAAUGUGGAUGGUACGCUACUUAAUUUAAUGAUUACAGUAUUGUACAAGGUAGAUACAGGAGUAGCCUAUAGUCUACAAUAAUAAUGUCAUUGAAUUUACUUUCAUAUAAUUUAUUUAAUUGAUGAAUGAAAUUGUAAAUGGGGAUGAGUGACUACUUCAUUCAGUGAUUACUGAAUGUCUUGCUAUCUCUGGAAGUAUGUUAAUGAAGGCUUUUCAGCUGUUGAACUAUGGCAAGGUCAAACUAAUUUCUAAAUCUAUCUUUCUUUUAGUCAAGAAGUGAUGUGCCAUAGCUACCCACCACCCACACUGCUCUCCCUCCACAAGCAACCACAUCCUCUGCUCCUGUUCAAUUAAUUUGCCACUACACUGAAAAGUACUGUACAUACUUACCUCGAAUAACAGGCAGAUGUUUGAGUACAGAAUGAAAAGGUGUAAACUUAACAGGCUAAACUUGUUGAGUACACUCAGCAAGGGGUUCCAACAGGGUUCUUUGGCUGUCACCAAAGGAGAACACUUUUUGGUUCCAGGUAGAAGUCUUUUUGGUUCCAUGUAGAACCCUCUGUGGAAUGGAGCCCAAAAGGGUUCUACCUAGACACAGAAGGGGUUCUACUUGGAACUAAAAAGGGUUAUCCUAUGGGGACAGCGGAAGAAUCCUUUUAGUUUGUAGACAGAUGGCAUCCCUAGAGGGGGGGGUGUACUGUCACACCCUGAUCUGUAUCACCUGUCCUUGUGAUUGUCUACACCCCCUCCAGGUGUCGCUUAUUAUCCCCGGUGUAUAUAUCCCUAUAUUUCCUGUCUCUCUGUGCCAGUUUGCAUUGUUUGCCAAGUCAACCAGCGGUUUCCCUUGUUCCUAUUUUUUCCCCCAGUCUCUUUAGGUUCUAGUCCUCCUGGUUUCGACCCUUGCCAGUCCUGACUCCAAACACUCCUGCCUAACCACUCUGCCUGUUCUGUCUUCAACCCUGCCUUCCAACUUGUACUGUUUGGACUCGGAUCUGUUUACUGAACCCCUGCCUGGCCUGACCUUGAGACUGCCCUUCGUCUGGUACUGUUUGGACUCGGACCCGGUUUAUGAACUCUCGCCUGUCCACCACCUACUUUUUGCCUACCCCUUGGAUUAAUAAAUAUCGGAGCUCAACCAUCUGCUUCCUGUGUCUGCAGUUGGGUCUCGCCUUGUGUCCUUAUAACCUGAUGUGAUCAAUACGCCUUCGAGGACCACCUUCAAGUAUGGGCUGAGAAGGAUGUGGAGGUUUUUGACCAGGUGAGACUGAACAUGAACAUGGACAGGGCGCAGGAGAAACAGAAGGAGAGCCACCGGAGGAGAAUCAAGGGGACCAAGUGCUUCAACAUCCAACAACUUCUUAGGCCUAGUUGUCCCGUCAGCAGGACACCUGUCGACAACAUCCGGUGAAAUUGGAGGGCGCGCAAUUCAAAUAAAUAAUCGGAAUAUUAAACAUUUAUGAACAUACAAGUACCUUAUAUCGGUUAAAAGCUUAAAUUCUUCUUAAUGUAACUGCAUUGUCCAAUUUACAAUAGGCUUUACAGCGAAAGCAUACCAUUGUUUGAGGACGGCGCCCUACAUCAACAUAUUUUUCAACCAGCACAGACUUCAUAAAAUCGCAAAUAGUGAUUAAAUAAUCCCUUACUUUUUGAAAAUCUUCCUUUGUUUGCAAUCGCAAGGGUUCCAGCUACAACAUGCAUGGUCGCUUUCUUAGAUAAAAUCCUUCUUUACAUCUCAAAAAGUCUGUUUAGUUGGCGCCAUCGAUUUUCAGUAAUCCAAGUGUUCAACAUGCAGACAAAGGAAUCCAAAAUGCUACCGCUAAACUUUGUUAAAACAAGUCAAACUACGUUUCUAUUUAAUCCUUAGAUACCCUAAAAUGAAAAUAAACUAUAAUAUUUCAUACAGAAAGAAGUAUGUUCAAUAGAAAAGUAAAAUUAUCAAGUGCACGUCCUCUUCGUCACGCGGACUGAUUUCCAACUGUGACUCUUUGUACCAAAAUUCUUCCUCGUUUUGGAAGAAACAAGCCUGAAACCUUGAUCAAAGACUGUUGACAUCUAGUGGAAGCCAUAGUAAUUGCAAUCUGGGAGCUGGAAUUACAUAGGACCCAUAGCUUUCCAUUGAAAGAGCAUGGGAUCUCAACAACAACAAAAAUAAAUCUGGUUGAUUUUUCUUUGGAUUUUCUGCUGCUAUAUCAAUUGUUAUAGUCUGAUACAUUAUUUUAACAUUUCUACAAACAUCAAAGUGUUUUCUAUCCAAUGAUAUCAAUUAUAUGUAUAUCCUGGCUUCUGUGCCUGAGUAACAGGCAGUUUACUUUGGGCAUGUAAGUCAGGCUCCAGUGGUCAUGACACCACCCUGGAGUUUCUCUCACAUCUCAUCUCUCUUACCUUUUCCAGGGACAUCCCUUACCUCCCUCAUCAACCCCACUGACAUAAAACAUUUCAGACAUGUAAUCCUUUCUUUUCUGUCUGCCAUUAACAUGAUUGCAUGUCUAAUUAAAUAAAACAAUAACUGUACUUUUACAUACCUGAUAUGCCUGUAACCUGUGUGUUUGCUUGUUAUGGCUGUUUCCUACCAUGUUCCCUUUACUCUGCUCCUGUUCUCCAGGACCUAGGGGUUCUGCCUAACACCCAGACAUGGAUCCACCUGAUGUCCUCCAUUACCAACCACCCUCCAGCUUUUCAUUACAUCAGCUACUGUUAUUGUCAUGUUGUCAUUAUCUGCUACGAAAGAGCAAGAAAACUAUCAUACUGGGCACAUAAUAUGAGAUGCACAGAUUAGCGAAAAACUUUAGCAUUGCAAACACUCAGAACAAAGAGAGCAGCAGCGCCUGGACUUUGCAGUCUCCCUCUUCUGAGACUGACUGCCUGUUGAAAACAAGUGACAGGUAGAACCUCUCAUCCACACAGCACCCACCUCCUCCCUAUCCCACACACCAGAAUUAAGUAUUUCAGUCUAUGAUUGCCAUGUGAGUCUACAAAAAUUAUGUAAAAGUAAAUUGACACAUGUAACAACAAAAAAAUCUACGUUUAUAUAUUUAAAAUAUUGCCAGAUUGGUUUUCACAGCUGUUUCAUAUGGUGUUAAUUAUUGUAAAUUGUAACGUAUCCCUCGAUGGUAUUUGUUAGUUCAACAUUAUUCAUUGUUGGAUCAUAGGACAUAAAAUAGAUAUAUAUAUAUAUAUAUUGAACCAUAAGGGUUGUACUAAUGAGCUAUGAUUUAAAAAAAAAAAAAUCAUAAUAGAGGACUACUAAAAUAAUAUUAUUUCAGUGUAGAUAAGGGAUGGCUUGUUUAAAUGAAAACCAGCCAUACAAGCCAGUGUAUAAAUCAAAUGUAUUUGCAUAUGAAUGGAGUGGAAAUUAGAUUACUUUGUGAUCUGUAACAUAAGUAAAAUUAAUGUGUGGGGGGGAAUCGAAUUUUUAUUUAUUUUUUUACCCUGAUACCUGUUUGUUCAUAAAAAGCAGAAGAUGGUAAAUAAUUUGAAUCGCAUAUGCAAAUUAAUAGCAAAACAAAAGCUUAUUAACAGGAAUAGAUUUAGCCUAAUUGGUAACACAUAUGAAGUGGGGAAAAGUGAGAAUCCUAGUCAGGCAAUUUUUUUAUCAAAUCUAGAUGAAAUUAUAGGUCUUCAUGUGUAUCAAAUCUGUAGGCGAUUGUGGGCUAAAUCAAUGACAAACAGCUGAAAUGUUGAUCUGUGAUCAAAACAGGCUUGUGUGUUUUCGGUUCCGUUUAGGCUAUGGUUAUGCGUAAGAACGCAACUGCACUGAAAUGAAUAGCCUAAGCAAACAAGCGGUAGCAUAUGCUUUUUGCCUGUAUCUAUAACAAGGGUUAAUCCUAUAUCCACACAUACCCCCUGAAUUCAAGACCUGAUUUUAACCAUAAGACACCACCACAGAAAUGGAGGCCUAAGGAUUGCAUGGUGACAGUGAUUUUUUAACCUUUAUUUAACUAGGCAAGUCAGUUAAGAAAAAAUUAUUAUUUACAAUGACAGCCUACCAGGGAACAGUGGGUUAACUGCCUUGUCCAGGAGCAGAACGACACAUUUUUACCUUGUCAGCUCAGGGAUUCGAUCAAGCAACCUUUUGGUUACUGGCCCAACACUCUAACCACUAGGCUACCUGCCGCCCCAUGUCUAUUGUGUCUAUUAAACCGGUAAACUGGGAACCUGGGGGGAAAAAACGAGGUAAAAUCAUGACAUCAGUGGUUUUCAUGUCAGAGAAAGAUGCCAGAGUUUCUGAAUUGGAAUUCCGAGUUGGAUGACCACUCAAAACAAACAUUUUCCCCAGUCUGAGCUGGUUAUUUCAGGGUUCCCAAUUGUCUUGAAUGCACUGAAGUCGGAAGUCAGAGAUUUUCGAGUUCCGAGUUAUUUUGAAUUCGCGUCUAGAGACCUAAGCUCCCUCUUAUUUCUGAAUAGGGCUACCCCGAACAAAGAAGCCCUUGUGUCUGUAUUGAAGUGAGAAAUAGGCAUAUCUAUACAGUAAUGGUGGCUGGCUACGAUAUCAACUAGCCUAAUAAUUUUUGUAUUGAGGUGAUAUGCCUAUUUGAGCUAAAUCGAUAAAUGAAAUUGAUUAGAUUACUCCGACAAUGAAAAAUAUUUUUUACAAAAUCAUGUACAUGUAGAUGUUUGUAAGGUGUUCAUGGUGAGAUCUUAAAAAAUAAACUAAACAGACACUUAAACUAA